rnacentral:rRNA from 1 species
GGACGAACGCUGGCGGCGUGCUUAACACAUGCAAGUCGAACGGAAAGGCCCUGCUUGCAGGGUGCUCGAGUGGCGAACGGGUGAGUAACACGUGGGUGAUCUGCCCCUUACUUUGGGAUAAGCCUGGGAAACUGGGUCUAAUACUGGAUAGGACCAUGCUGUAGGUGGUGUGGUGGAAAGAUUAGUUUCGGUAAGGGAUGAGCUCGCGGCCUAUCAGCUUGUUGGUGGGGUAAUGGCCUACCAAGGCGUCGACGGGUAGCCGGCCUGAGAGGGUGGACGGCCACAUUGGGACUGAGAUACGGCCCAGACUCCUACGGGAGGCAGCAGUGGGGAAUAUUGCACAAUGGGCGCAAGCCUGAUGCAGCGACGCCGCGUGGGGGAUGACGGCCUUCGGGUUGUAAACUCCUUUCAGCCAUGACGAAGCCCUUGUGGUGACGGUAGUGGUAGAAGAAGCACCGGCUAACUACGUG